rnacentral:rRNA from 1 species
CCUACGGGCGGCAGCAGUGAGGAAUAUUGGUCAAUGGCCGUAAGGCUGAACCAGCCAAGUAGCGUGAGGGAAGACUGCCCUAUGGGUUGUAAACCUCUUUUAUGCGGGGAUAAAGGUGUCCACGUGUGGCUGUUUGCAGGUACCGCAUGAAUAAGGACCGGCUAAUUCCGUGCCAGCAGCCGCGGUAAUACGGAGGGUCCGGGCGUUAUCCGGAUUUAUUGGGUUUAAAGGGAGCGUAGGCCGGUCUUUAAGCGUGCCGUGAAAUUUUGUGGCUCAACCAUGAGAGUGCGGGGGGUACUGGAGACCUUGAGUGCGCGGAAGGCAGGCGGAAUUCGUGGUGUAGCGGUGAAAUGCUUAGAUAUCACGAAGAACCCCGAUUGCGAAGGCAGCCUGCCGCAGCGUUACUGACGCUGAAGCUCGAAAGCGCGGGUAUCGAACAGGAUUAGAUACCCUUGUAGUC